rnacentral:rRNA from 1 species
GGGUUGUGAGGUUAAGCGACUAAGCGUACACGGUGGAUGCCCUGGCAGUCAGAGGCGAUGAAGGACGUGCUAAUCUGCGAUAAGCGUCGGUAAGGUGAUAUGAACCGUUAUAACCGGCGAUUUCCGAAUGGGGAAACCCAGUGUGAUUCGUCACACUAUCAUUAACUGAAUCCAUAGGUUAAUGAGGCGAACCGGGGGAACUGAAACAUCUAAGUACCCCGAGGAAAAGAAAUCAACCGAGAUUCCCCCAGUAGCGGCGAGCGAACGGGGAGGAGCCCAGAGCCUGAAUCAGUGUGUGUGUUAGUGGAAGCGUCUGGAAAGGCGCGCGAUACAGGGUGACAGCCCCGUACACAAAAAUGCACAUGCUGUGAGCUCGAUGAGUAGGGCGGGACACGUGGUAUCCUGUCUGAAUAUGGGGGGACCAUCCUCCAAGGCUAAAUACUCCUGACUGACCGAUAGUGAACCAGUACCGUGAGGGAAAGGCGAAAAGAACCCCGGCGAGGGGAGUGAAAAAGAACCUGAAACCGUGUACGUACAAGCAGUGGGAGCCUCUUUAUGGGGUGACUGCGUACCUUUUGUAUAAUGGGUCAGCGACUUAUAUUCUGUAGCAAGGUUAACCGAAUAGGGGAGCCGAAGGGAAACCGAGUCUUAACUGGGCGUUAAGUUGCAGGGUAUAGACCCGAAACCCGGUGAUCUAGCCAUGGGCAGGUUGAAGGUUGGGUAACACUAACUGGAGGACCGAACCGACUAAUGUUGAAAAAUUAGCGGAUGACUUGUGGCUGGGGGUGAAAGGCCAAUCAAACCGGGAGAUAGCUGGUUCUCCCCGAAAGCUAUUUAGGUAGCGCCUCGUGAAUUCAUCUCCGGGGGUAGAGCACUGUUUCGGCAAGGGGGUCAUCCCGACUUACCAACCCGAUGCAAACUGCGAAUACCGGAGAAUGUUAUCACGGGAGACACACGGCGGGUGCUAACGUCCGUCGUGAAGAGGGAAACAACCCAGACCGCCAGCUAAGGUCCCAAAGUCAUGGUUAAGUGGGAAACGAUGUGGGAAGGCCCAGACAGCCAGGAUGUUGGCUUAGAAGCAGCCAUCAUUUAAAGAAAGCGUAAUAGCUCACUGGUCGAGUCGGCCUGCGCGGAAGAUGUAACGGGGCUAAACCAUGCACCGAAGCUGCGGCAGCGACGCUUAUGCGUUGUUGGGUAGGGGAGCGUUCUGUAAGCCUGCGAAGGUGUACUGUGAGGUAUGCUGGAGGUAUCAGAAGUGCGAAUGCUGACAUAAGUAACGAUAAAGCGGGUGAAAAGCCCGCUCGCCGGAAGACCAAGGGUUCCUGUCCAACGUUAAUCGGGGCAGGGUGAGUCGACCCCUAAGGCGAGGCCGAAAGGCGUAGUCGAUGGGAAACAGGUUAAUAUUCCUGUACUUGGUGUUACUGCGAAGGGGGGACGGAGAAGGCUAUGUUGGCCGGGCGACGGUUGUCCCGGUUUAAGCGUGUAGGCUGAUUUUCCAGGUAAAUCCGGAAAAUCAAGGCUGAGGCGUGAUGACGAGGCACUACGGUGCUGAAGCAACAAAUGCCCUGCUUCCAGGAAAAGCCUCUAAGCAUCAGGUAACAUCAAAUCGUACCCCAAACCGACACAGGUGGUCAGGUAGAGAAUACCAAGGCGCUUGAGAGAACUCGGGUGAAGGAACUAGGCAAAAUGGUGCCGUAACUUCGGGAGAAGGCACGCUGAUACGUAGGUGAAGUCCCUUGCGGAUGGAGCUGAAAUCAGUCGAAGAUACCAGCUGGCUGCAACUGUUUAUUAAAAACACAGCACUGUGCAAACACGAAAGUGGACGUAUACGGUGUGACGCCUGCCCGGUGCCGGAAGGUUAAUUGAUGGGGUUAGCGGUAACGCGAAGCUCUUGAUCGAAGCCCCGGUAAACGGCGGCCGUAACUAUAACGGUCCUAAGGUAGCGAAAUUCCUUGUCGGGUAAGUUCCGACCUGCACGAAUGGCGUAAUGAUGGCCAGGCUGUCUCCACCCGAGACUCAGUGAAAUUGAACUCGCUGUGAAGAUGCAGUGUACCCGCGGCAAGACGGAAAGACCCCGUGAACCUUUACUAUAGCUUGACACUGAACAUUGAGCCUUGAUGUGUAGGAUAGGUGGGAGGCUUUGAAGUGUGGACGCCAGUCUGCAUGGAGCCGACCUUGAAAUACCACCCUUUAAUGUUUGAUGUUCUAACGUUGGCCCCUAAUCGGGGUUGCGGACAGUGUCUGGUGGGUAGUUUGACUGGGGCGGUCUCCUCCUAAAGAGUAACGGAGGAGCACGAAGGUUGGCUAAUCCUGGUCGGACAUCAGGAGGUUAGUGCAAUGGCAUAAGCCAGCUUGACUGCGAGCGUGACGGCGCGAGCAGGUGCGAAAGCAGGUCAUAGUGAUCCGGUGGUUCUGAAUGGAAGGGCCAUCGCUCAACGGAUAAAAGGUACUCCGGGGAUAACAGGCUGAUACCGCCCAAGAGUUCAUAUCGACGGCGGUGUUUGGCACCUCGAUGUCGGCUCAUCACAUCCUGGGGCUGAAGUAGGUCCCAAGGGUAUGGCUGUUCGCCAUUUAAAGUGGUACGCGAGCUGGGUUUAGAACGUCGUGAGACAGUUCGGUCCCUAUCUGCCGUGGGCGCUGGAGAACUGAGGGGGGCUGCUCCUAGUACGAGAGGACCGGAGUGGACGCAUCACUGGUGUUCGGGUUGUCAUGCCAAUGGCACUGCCCGGUAGCUAAAUGCGGAAGAGAUAAGUGCUGAAAGCAUCUAAGCACGAAACUUGCCCCGAGAUGAGUUCUCCCUGACUCCUUGAGAGUCCUGAAGGAACGUUGAAGACGACGACGUUGAUAGGCCGGGUGUGUAAGCGCAGCGAUGCGUUGAGCUAACCGGUACUAAUGAACCGUGAGGCUUAACCUUACAACGCCGAAG